AUUGAACGCUGGCGGCAGGCCUAACACAUGCAAGUCGGACGGUAGCACAGAGGAGCUUGCUCCUCGGGUGACGAGUGGCGGACGGGUGAGUAAUGUCUGGGGAUCUGCCCGAUAGAGGGGGAUAACCACUGGAAACGGUGGCUAAUACCGCAUAACGUCGCAAGACCAAAGAGGGGGACCUUCGGCCCUCUCACCAUCGGAUGAACCCAGACGGGAUUAGCUAGUAGGCGGGGUAACGGCCCACCUAGGCGACGACCCCUAGCUGGUCUGAGAGGAUGACCAGCCACACUGGAACUGAGACACGGUCCAGACUCCUACGGGAGGCAGCAGUGGGGAAUAUUGCACAAUGGGCGCAAGCCUGAUGCAGCCAUGCCGCGUGUAUGAAGAAGGCCUUCGGGUUGUAAAGUACUUUCAGCGGGGAGGAAGGCGAUGUGGUUAAUAACCGCGUCGAUUGACGUUACCCGCAGAAGAAGCACCGGCUAACUCCGUGCCAGCCGCCGCAAUAA
rnacentral:rRNA from 1 species